UGUACAAAUCUUAUGACACUUUAAAUUACGGACUAAAGAAUAAAUUACGGACUAAAGAAUUGGAUUAAUUGUCCACAGGUACAUGUACAGAAGGUAGUUCUGCAUGUUUGAUAAAACGGAAGUAAUGGCCUAAAACCGUUUAUCCGGGUAGCCUGGAUUCGCCGUACGGAAAGGCAAUUCUAUUUAUUUAUAUUUAAUGGUAACCGAGUUUAACAUUACCUGUACGAGCAGUGGAUAGAAAAGUUUGUUGGUCAAAAAUUCGGGGUUAACCGUGCUACCAUUUGAGUGGUGUAAUAAACAAUUAACGGCUUGACAUCAGUUUCAGACCCAUCAACAUCAUUGAAAGUAAAUUGAAAUGUCGAAGGAAUCCUGCAGAAGCCUUGCAUAUUUUACAUCAAUACUCGUACAUGUGUAUAUUAUUCCUCUACGUUUGAAGUCCAGCUCGUUUACACGUAUUAUACGGGAGAACUUUCAUACCAUAUUAAACGAUUUUUCUAUAUUUAAUAUUUGAACCCGAUUGAAUAUGAUACAGAUCAAAAUAAGAGUUAAACCUGACAGUAUGUAAAAUGGAAAGUGUGAAGGGAUCACAGAGCCAGACAAUAUUAAAAAUCACAGCAUUCUUUUGAGUGACUGAUAGGUGUAGAUUUUACAUUCUCUCCUCAAAUUCAAUAAUGUCCCAUUUUAGUUUUCAAUUAUUAAUAGAGAAAAUGAUAAAUGUUAGCUGAUAUACAUCAUUUUCAAGCAUUUGUUUAUUUGUAUAUCAGGUAGUGAAAAAUAGAUGUAUUUUGUUUUCCUCACACCUGAGCACAAUGUGCUCAAUGUGAGCUACAUUUGUAUUGUGAUAACGCUGUGUCCUUGCGGACGUCAAGUCGUCCGUCGUCAACAAUUGUGUUUAAACGACAUCUCCUCCAAAACCACCGGAUGGAUUCUAAUGAAACGUAAUUGGUCUGUUACUUGGAUGGUCAUCUACCAAAGUUGUACAAAAGGUUUUGCUUGGUUUUACACAGGGGCCGCCAGAGCUAAAAAAUACAAAAUCUUCAAACGACAUCUCCGCCUAAACCGAUGGUCAGAUUUUGAAAUAAUUUCACACAAAUGGUCCUUAUGUCACCUUCUACUAUAAUUGUUCAAGUUAUACAGAUUUGUCUUCAGGGAGCGUGGUCACUUUUCCCUAUAUGUAUAUAGUGGAAACAUUAAAAAUCUUCUUUUGUGAAACUGCUAGGCUAAGCCCGAUUUUCAAACUUGGCCUAGAGAUCAUUAAGGCAAACAUUCUGACCAAGUAUAAUAAAGAUUUAGUCAACAUUGUUGCCUCUAGAGUGUUCACAAGCUUUUCAUUUGCUUUGACCGAGUGACCUAGUGUUUGACUCCACAUGACCCAGUUUCAAACUUGGUCUAGAAAUCAUCAAGACCAACAUUCUAAAUAAGUUUCAUAAAGAUUGAGUCACAAUUGUGGCCUCUAGAGUGUUCACAAGGCAAAUGACGACGGAUGACGGAUGCCGACGGACGCCGGACCAUAACCGGUCACAAUAUCUCACCUUGAGCACUUUGUUCUAAAAUGUGUUCAUUUUACAGUUUUUAUUCAUGCAAUAAAUCAGUUAGACAAUACACACGCGUGUGUAACCGGCGAGUAUCAUCAUGCUCAGGAGAUUCUCAGGGAACGUAAUUCGAUAGCAAACUCGCCUCUACGAGGCUCGUUUUGCUACCCAAAUUACGUUCCCUGAGAUUUCCUCGCGCAUGAUGAUACCAACGUAUCAUUUAUACGUAUAUAAAACUAUGUAUAUUUAUAUUCAGAACCUAUAUAUAGUUAUAAAACUGAAACUAUAAAAUGAUAUUAUUGGUUUGUUACUAAUUUUAACUACGGGAUUCCAGAUAUGAUUCUCCAGCAUAUAUUAUUGCGCGUGUAUUAUGUUCUUUACAUCAGUUUUUGCAUCAGUGUGUGCUAGUAAACAAGAUAAGCUUGACAUUUUCUUUUGAUAUUACUAAAUCAUAUACAUUGUACAAAUCUUAUGACACUUUAAAUUACGGACUAAAGAAUAGGAUUAAUUGUUCACAGGUACAUGUGCUUGAGGUAGUUCUGCAUGUUUGAUAAAACGGAAGUAAUGGCCUAACGCCGUUUAUCCGGGUAGCCUGGAUUCGCUGUACGGAAAGGCAAUUCAAUUUAUUUAUAUUUAAUGGUAACCGAGUUUAACAUUACCUAUACAAGCAGUGGAUAGAAGAGUUUGUUGGUCAACAAUUCGGGGUUAACCGUGCUAUCAUUUUAGUGGUGUAAUAAACAAUUAACGGCUUAACAUGAGUUCCAGACCCAUUGAAAGUGUACCAAUAACAAACAUUCAGACUAUGCAGUCUUUAAUGCUUACAGACGAAUGGAAUAAUCAUUUUAAUACAUGGCCGGAUGGUUGGACGCCUUGGCCGGAACAAAACAACAAAACUGUGGUAUUGCCAUUUGUUUACUGGAGUAAAAAAAUAGAAAUUUCACCACAUGGAUUAGUUCAUGUAUUUUAUGUACAAAAAGCUUAUCAAACAGUCAGACCGACUUAUUAUGGGUUUCAAGGUCUAAAUAUUCUGAAUCAGCCUUAUUUCUACCGCGUAUGUCGUAUGGACGAAGAUAUAAGCAUUGGGAUUUUCUGCAAGGACCCUUAAUCCACCCGUACAUUGCCCCAACACAUGACGUCCGGUUCUACACAUUCUUCGACGUAUAUUUCUAUGACCACUGACUUAAAUGUCGCACGCGACUGGGCCGCAAAGAUUCCAGGCAAAAUUGUUAGAAUAAAUUUGCAGAGUAUACAGGGUACACCAGUGGAGGAGACGUGUAUAAAUCUUACGAAGCCGGAAAUAAGAAGCCAAGUACUCACACACCCCAUUCAAGUCAACCGAGCGAUAUCGUCAAAGGAAUUCAUCUUUCAAUACCUUAUUCCAAAAUUCAUGUACAAUCCUGCUUUCAAUGGCCCUGUUCAGGUUUAUGAAGAAGUGGAUUUCGACAAAAAUGGAAACAUCUGGAAGAAGCUGUAAUAAGUAAAAUAAUGGAUAAUGGAAACUUUAUAUUAAUAUGUAUCUUUGGCACUAGCUCUUACCAAAGGGAGAUUAUCAGCAGAUGAUAUAUAACUACACAAGCUCAAAAAAAGAACAGUAUCAGGAUUUAAUAACCAAGGCGCGAUACGGCUAUUUUGCUGUUGAAUUGCUUAUUCUGCUGUUCAAUGAAAUUAUGCAACUCUAGUUACUUUCGGUUCCACGGGUCUUCUUGUUCUGCUGAAAGUUUAACGGCAUAUCGCGAUAAAUUAAUUUUGAUAUAUUGUGCAGGACGCUAUCGUUGAUCAUUAGAUCGUGGGGCUUGAUAUUUUAGCAAAACACAUACAAAAAUAUAAACUUUUCGAUAAUUGACCAGACAAUUAAGUCACUGGUAAAUAAUGCAACAAUGGACUUAACACCUCUGGUCAACAUUUUUCUCGAUGGCUUUUUAUACGCCUGUUUAAAAAGAACUUUCCAUCCAAUAACUACGGUCUUUUUCCUCAAAAUUAAUCCAAAUUUAAUUUAAAAUAUGUAUCGCUAUCAAGGUCAAGUUUACAAUCGAAAGUAACUAUUGAAGUAAAUUUUCGUUUUUUGGUAAAGCAAAUAAUUGUUUUCAAUAAAUUAAUUAUGUGAGCUAUAUGGUAUGACAUGAAACUAAACUUGUUUGAUUGUAUCACAUUUCUACUACAAAAACAUAUUUGCGUACUAGUAUUUUAUAACUUUAAAAUGCAUUAUCAUUAUGUCCGGUUGUAUUAAAACAAAAAUUUAGAAUGAAACUGUUACCACUGGUUCAUUUGAUUAAUUUAGAAACAUUAAUUAGACAAAAAAUAAUUUCAAUUGUUAUCAUAAAUUGUAUAUAUCCAGUAAAUUUGAAAAAUUU